UCCCAUAUGGUCUUGUGGUUAAUAUUUGGCGCUUUCACCGCCAAGGCCCGGGUUCAAUUCCCGGUUUGGGAA